CCUACGGGUGGCAGCAGUGGGGAAUAUUGGGCAAUGGGCGAAAGCCUGACCCAGCAACGCCGCGUGAAGGAAGAAGGCUUUCGGGUUGGAAACGUCUUUUGACAGGGAAGAGCAGAAGACGGGACCAGUCGAAUAAGCCACGGCUAACUACGUGCCAGCAGCCGCGGUAAUACGUAGGUGGCAAGCGGUGUACGGAUUUACUGGGGGGAAAGGGCGUGUAGCCGGGCUGACCCGUCAGAGGUGAAAUCCGGGGGCGCAACCCCCGAACUGCAUUGGAAACUGUUGGUCUUGAGUAUCGGCGGGGCUGCCGGACUUCCUCGUGUAGCGGUGACAUGCUUCGAUAUUAGGAGGACCUCCAGUGGCGAAGGCGGCCUGCUGGACUGCACCUGACGGUGUGGCUCGAAAGCGUGGGGAGCAAACAGGAUUAGAUACCCCAGUAGUC
rnacentral:rRNA from 1 species